ACUUGGAAAUGAGGUCAUUUGUUGUUUGUCUUGAAUGCAACCUUCACAAGCAAGUGUCAUAGCAUUGUAGCUUAUAUGACCAAGAUCUAAGCCACUUACCAUAGAUUGGAGCUCUUUCAUGCUCUUGGCAUUCAAAUGACCCAAGCAUCGAUGCCAAAUGCCAAACUUGUCUUGAUCUUGAGAAAAUUCAGCAAAUGCCG
rnacentral:lncRNA from 1 species